rnacentral:misc_RNA from 1 species
UGGCGCGUCACCCGCCUCUCCUCUCUUUCUGCAGCGUGUGCCUAUUCUCUCCUGCAUCACGAGGUAUGUGUCGCCAACCAAAGACUCUGCUCUACACAAGCGAACGCGCUGACACACUCGCGGACAUACUGCAGGUCAAUCACAGUUUAUUGCUUUUCCUCCUUUAAGCAGGCAAGGGUGGGAGGCCGGAAGGACUGACGUCACUAUCCUCUGCCCCCUCCCACCCAUUUUCCAUGUGCGUUGAUGCUCCUACGUGAAUCUUUCACGGCGGUUCGUCGCCUUCGCGGGGCUGUGGCCUUCGCACCGCUUCGGCUCACGGCUGUUUGCACGAUUCCACGGUACAGCACCGUGCAAGACGGGCGCAGCUGCCGGGAACAGACACACCCUCGCCGCCAUCAAUGUCCUUCGCGGAAUUCUGUAGCUGGCGUCCACCAGCGACAUCACCGCCAUCAUGCGCGGUCGGUGGAGCCUUGUGCCCGAUUUCGUGGUGCGGCACCGUCGUCGGGACGUCGUGGUAAGUCGCGGACGCGCAGUGAGGCGCACGUCUUGCAUGAGGCGACUUUGCGGCCGUCGCGUUUUACACCCAUGAGAGCUACGAGGGCGCAUGAUGCUACGUGCACCUCGCCGUAUGAGUUGAAUACGGCUCAGAUGUUGGACGCUGUGCUGGCUCUUUCCUCGGCUCUUUACGAGGACGAGGCCGCCGCGACGGCUGCCCGCGUCAAUGACGCCAAGGCGCCGAGUAAUGCUGCCGACCACCCCGUCUCCUCUCCACAUGUGCCCCCUAUGACGUCGUACCGUGCUCUUGGUGAGCUGGAAGGGGUGACGGCGGUUCCGGAGGAUGCGUAUGGGUCUCUCGACGCGGAGGACUUAAUGACGUCCAUGGGCGCGUGCUCUGAGGGAUGUGGUGACAAGCGGGACAAGCGUACACUGCACAUCGAUCUCGCUACCAACUCCCCGGCGCCUUCUUUCUCGAGCGCCGUUAUAGCGCAGCCUUCAAGUACUGGCACGACCUCUUCCUCCAUCGUGGCUACCUUCGCUGCCCGUGACGUCCCGCUCGAGCGCAAGGUGCUCCAGUUUAUGGACCUGUGCAGCAACUCGAGUGCAACGCCACACCUAAGCGGCGACCACAGCGACGCGGCGUCGCAGCUACCUUGGAAUGGCGGAGCGGGAGCGCGAGCUGGCGACAGUAGGAGGGAUCGCACUACUCCUUCCGCUGCCACCGCAUGGUCUUCUUCCGCUGCUGCAGCGCUGGUAUUGCCGGGGCUGGACAUGAAGGCCAUCCUGGCACAUGGCGUGCUGGAGAAUCGUCAUCUGCGUGGCCUCUCUCUCGUUCGGUGUGACUUCUCGCUAGUGCGGUGGUCGCACGUGACGCUGGAGGACUGCGACCUUUCGCGCAGCCUCUUCUACGGAGCCAAGCUGGACACCGUGAUUUUUCGUCGCUGCAACUUCACAGGUUGCAUCCUCAAAGGCGUCCAGUGCCGCCCAUCCUUGUCCACCACGGCCCGCUUUGAGGACUGCGAUUUCCGCCUUGCCGCUGUUGGGCUGACGUGCAUCCCACACGACUCGAGGCAGACGGGCAAAGACGCCGAUCAAGGCCAGGGCAUCAUCUGUAGCAGCAGCCGCCGGGACGGCCCAUCGGUGUGCUUCCUUCGUUGCAACUUCGACCUCAGCGACUUUCAGUUCAGCCAAGGCCUUGACAAGGCCAAGUUUGUGAAGUGCAGCAAUACGCGUUCGGCCUCGCGCUUCCCUCUCCGUGUUCGCGGGGGCCUAGGCUGACGGGUUUAGCGGGGUUUUCGACGACGGAGGAUGAGAGGGUAGGGGGGGCGAGGGAUGCAUGCGUGGCGAUGCGUGGGUGCAUUAUACAGCACGAGUGGGGCCAAGCUACUGCUUUGCCUUGUCGGGCCUCCUUGUGGUCAUCUCUCGCGCCUCUCACUGUGGCUUGGCCUCCUUUACGACCGACGCGGAUGCCGACUUCCCGCAGCUUGCAGGGCGCGACCGCACGUGCACGUGUUUGCAUGCAUGCAGCGAUGAGUCUGCGUAUGCUUGCUUCCUUCGUUGCCGUUUCCAUCGUCACAGGUACGGACC